UAGCGGUGACCCAGACUGUGCCGACGGAAGUGGGAAAAACUACGCUAUUGAGGAUAAUAAAACACAACAGCUUCAAGCCGCUCAAGAUAAGGUUUCCGGCUUGAUGUGGUUUUUCAAUAGCAAUGUUGCUGGCAUUGGCAGAAACGACAGUGGAAUUGGGUAGGUGAUUUGAAGAGGAAUCUUGCCAGUAUCCUCCCGGAGGAGUGAAAGUGGCUUAAUAAGUGGCAGUCACGAUUAAGGUAGACACUACAAGGAGUAUUUUGCGAACAUUUGCAUUUUGGGUGCCAAAAU
rnacentral:lncRNA from 1 species